rnacentral:lncRNA from 1 species
CUCCAGCCUGGGUAACAAGAGCGAAACUCCGUCUCAAAAAAAAAAAAAAGAAAGGGCUGUCACUGGCCUAGUCUGAGACACUUUGAACAACAAAAUGAAUGAAUGGACUUUAACCAUUAAUUAAAAUAGGACACCAUGAGUACAUCCGUACCUAACUCAUAAUUCCACAAAUAAUUGAAUCAAAUGAAAAUUUGAUAAGGCCUGGGAUAUUACACGGCUUCAAAGCACUUCCCUCUAAAACAUGUACUAAUCACAAUGGGAAAAGAGUAACGUUAUAGGAGAAGCCUGGCAGAGAAGCAGGCCACACGGAAAUCAUCUGCCUAAGAGGCUGCGGUGAGAACACCACAAGUCCUGCUAAAUAAGCAGAGCCCGAAUCUCAUCAGCAGGAAACACCAGAAAACCAAAGCCGGCAAAGGGACAUUCUACGAACCGGCUGGCUUGUCAGCAGAAGUGUCAAGAUCAUGAAAGUCAGCAGAGGCUGAGGAGAUCCACACAGAAGAAACCUAAAGAGAGAGGACAAGUAAAUGCAACACAUCACUCUGAAGAGGGGCCUUUUGCUACAAAGAAUAUUCUUGCGACAACUGGUGACCGCAUGGGGACGGAGGAUUAGAUGGGCUUCCACUCCAUUUCCCGCUACCCAGGACCUCAUAUCGACCACAAAGUCCAGAGCCCAGGCUGUGUGUUAUGGAAUGGCAGGGGCCUGGUGGCUGAGCCGGGAUCUGGCAGCCACACGACUGCCCUUACACGCCCUUGUUCACACGGUGCAGGCAGACCCUGUAAAGUAGGUGUGCGAAGGACUCAAUCAAACCACAGUACUGUUUGAAUGAUAUUUUUGUUAACCCCAGACUCAGCUUCCAACAAGCCCCUAGUAUAAGACAGUUUGGGCCUGGUGCGGUGGCUCACGCCUGUAAUCCCAGCACUUUGGGAGGCCGAGGCAGGUGGAUCACGAGGUCAAGAGAUCAAGACCAUCCUGGUCAACAUGGUGAAAUCCCGUCUCUACUAAAAAUACAAAAAAUUAGCUGGGCAUGGUGGCACGUGCCUGUAAUCCCAGCUACUCAGGAGGCUGAGGCAGGAGAAUUGCCUGAUCCCAGGAGGCAGAGGUUGCAGUAAGCUGAGAUCGCGCCAUUGCACUCCAGCCUGGAUAACAAGAUCGAAACUCUGUCUCAAAGAAAAAAAAAAAAAGACAGUUUGGAGUAACACAGCCGCAUGAUAAGGUAUCCCUUAGAAAUGUAUCUUCUGAAGCCUCAAAAUUGUAUUAAAAUUUUCUGGUUGCUGUUUGAAGAUGGGCUUGGUACAGUUAGUUUCUUUGGUCCUCUUUAGAAAAAAUACAAACUGCCAUAUAGCAGAACUAAACAGUAUCUCCCAUUCCAAAUGCUUUUCUUCCAAUGUGAUUUUGACACCCCUUUCAUUAACAGGUGGAGAGUGGGGGGGUGAGGGGUCUAUGUUCUCAUUCAUUAAAUCUGGAAAGGGGCUUGUGUCUAUGGAGGAGUAAUGCUAUGUAACUUCUGAGACUAGGUCAUAAAAGGUGUUGUACCUGUACUUCACUUUGUUUUUUGGGGAUGCUUGAUCUUGGAACUGAGCCGCCAUGCUGUGAGGAAGUCCAAGUAGCCACAUGUAGUUGUUGCAGGUGACAGCCCUCAAACAACAGGCAGUAUUAACUGCUAUAAAUAUGACUGAAUGAGCCUUCAGAUGAUUCCAGCCUCUAGCCAUCAAGUGACUCCUCCUCCAUAGCCAUUGAUUUCUUCCAGUUGAUUACCCCAUGUUAUUAUAUGUGCAGCAUAGACAAGUUGUCCCCAUGGUAUCCUUUUCCAAUUCCUGAUUCACAGAAUCUGUGGAAAUAAUAAAAUUGCUAUUAAUAUUGCACACUGUUUGUUUGUUCAUUUGUUUAAGUGAACA